rnacentral:rRNA from 1 species
GACGAACGCUGGCGGCGUGCUUAACACAUGCAAGUCGAGCGGUAAGGCCCUUUCGGGGGUACACGAGCGGCGAACGGGUGAGUAACACGUGGGUGACCUGCCCUCAGCUCUGGGAUAAGCCUGGGAAACCGGGUCUAAUACUGGAUAUGACUCCAUGACGCAUGUUGUGGGGUGGAAAGCCUUGUGCGGCUGAGGAUGGGCCCGCGGCCUAUCAGCUUGUUGGUGGGGUGAUGGCCUACCAAGGCGACGACGGGUAGCCGGCCUGAGAGGGCGGACCGGCCACACUGGGACGUGAGACACGGCCCACGACUCCUACGGGAGGGCAGCAGUGGGGAA